UUCCGGUUGAUCCUGCCGGAGGCUACUGCUAUUGGGAUUCGACUAAGCCAUGCGAGUCAAGGUGUCUUCGGACGCCGGCAUACGGCUCAGUAACACGUAGGUAACCUACCCUCAGGACUGAGAUAACCCCGGGAAACUGGGGCUAAUAUUAGAUAGAUAAAAGAUACUGGAAUGUUCUUUUAUCCAAAGCUUUUGCGCCUGAGGAUGGGCCUGCGCCCGAUUAGGUUGUUGGUGGGGUAAUGGCCCACCAAGCCUACGAUCGGUACGGGCAGUGGGAGCUGAAGCCCGGAGUUGGGGACUGAGACAAGGCCCCAGGCCCUACGGGGCGCAGCAGGCGCGAAACCUCUGCAAUGCGGGAAACCGUGACAGGGGGAUCCCAAGUGCUCAUGCAUUGCAUGGGCUGUUCUUUGGUCUAAGCAACCAGAGGAGUAAGGGCUGGGCAAGACCGGUGCCAGCCGCCGCGGUAAUACCGGCAGCUCAAGUGGUAGCCGCGACUAUUGGGCCUAAAACGUUCGUAGCCGGAUAAGUAAGUCUUUGGUUAAAUCCUGCGACUUAACCGUGGGAAAUCUAGAGAUACUGCUUGUCUUGAGACCGGGAGAGGUUGGAGGUACUCCCAGGGUAGGGGUGAAAUCCUGUAAUCCUGGGGGGACCACCUGUGGCGAAGGCGUCCAACUGGAACGGGUCUGACGGUGAGGGACGAAACCUAGGGGAGCGAGCCGGAUUAGAUACCCGGGUAGUCCUAGGCGUAAAUGAUGCGAGUUAAGUGUGGGGGCAUCCACGAGAUGGCCCUGUGCUGUAGGGUAGCCGUUAAACUCGCUGCCUGGGGAGUACGGUCGCAAGGCUGAAACUUAAAGGAAUUGGCGGGGGAGCACCACAAGAGGUGGAGGCUGCGGUUCAAU
rnacentral:rRNA from 1 species